rnacentral:rRNA from 1 species
GAUGAACGCUAGCGGCAGGCUUAACACAUGCAAGUCGAGGGGUAACAGGGAAAAGCUUGCUUUUUUGCUGACGACCGGCGAACGGGUGCGUAACGCGUAUAGAAUUUGCCUUGUACAGGAGGAUAGCCUUUAGAAAUGAAGAUUAAUACUCCAUAAUGUUGAUAGAUGGCAUCAUUUAUUAAUUAAAGAUUUAUCGGUACAAGAUGACUAUGCGUCCUAUUAGCUAGAUGGUAAGGUAACGGCUUACCAUGGCGACGAUAGGUAGGGGGUCUGAGAGGAUUAUCCCCCACACUGGUACUGAGACACGGACCAG